GGAUUCUUUUAACAAAAUAAAUAUAUUAAAAGUUUGUUAGGAUUGUUUUAUUCAUUUUCGGGUAAUAACAACGAAGGUGGAAGUAGAAGAGAGAAAGCCCGCUUUCUCUCUUCUCUUCUACGUUUAUAUCAAUUUGGCGAUGAAGGCCAAAUUCUUUGAUUUUAUUCCAGGAAAAUAGGGUGUGGUUUUGGUGAAAUCUAAAAUCAGGAAUGUGAUGCGUCGUCUGAAGAUAUCGAUCUUCUAUUUAUUCUGAUCACUCAUCAGUGUGGGGACUGCGGCAGCAGGAGGGAAAAAGUUGAUCAAGAAUCAGAAUUUAAUAUCUUGGGGUAUUAAAUUCAUUGAGAGGAGCGGCUCUGGUCUAACCUGCAUAUGGAUUCUACUUCAUCAGAGUCCGUAGCAAGCUCGUCCAAUGUAGCUUCUGUUAAUGUAAUGGAGAAAUCCGGUCUUGAUCGACUGCCUAAUGAAAUGCAUGAAAUGAGAAUUAGAGAUGCGAAGACUAGUGGCCACGAUGAUAAGGAUGUUGGGGCAAAUGUUAUUAAAGGGAAUGGAACAGAAACAGGUCAAAUAAUUACUACUGUUGUUAGUGGUCGAAGUGGGCAUCCA